GCGUGAGUGAUGAAGGUUUUCGGAUCGUAAAGCUCUGUCAGAGGGGAAGAACCUCCCAUCGUUUAGCCGCGAUGGGCCUGACGGUACCCUCAAAGGAAGCACCGGCUAACUCCGUGCCAGCAGCCGCGGUAAUACGGAGGGUGCGAGCGUUGUUCGGAAUUAUUGGGCGUAAAGCGCGUGUAGGCGGUCUGUUAAGUCUGGUGUGAAAGCCCGGGGCUCAACCCCGGAAGUGCAUUGGAUACUGGCAGACUUGAGUACGGGAGAGGAAAGUGGAAUUCCGAGUGUAGGGGUGAAAUCCGU
rnacentral:rRNA from 1 species